AACAUCGCCGCCUCCUUCUUUCUCCCCAGAAUCACCACACGCCUUCGACUCUUCGUCGAUCCCUCCGUUCGUCGGCGAAAAAACCGAAUACCCUAGGUUUCGAUCCUAAUAACGCCGCAGGGGCGCCCCGGUGCGUUCAUCGACGCGAGCGGCUUUGUCGAUCUUGUCUUGCCGGCGUAGAGCGCGUGGCUGGGGCAGCUGCUGAACGCCAGGGAGGGUGCGCCGGCAACCAGGAUGUGCCGGUGACGACGCAGGAGAUCCGUCACUCACCAUGCGCCAUCCUCGUUCCCUCCGGCCGGCAAGGGAAUACGGGAGAGCCGACCAGCAAGAAGAGAUGGCGGCCAGGGGACUGCGGUGUGUUGUUGCUCGCCGGCCACCAGUUCCAGGCCCUUGUCCAUAGCGCCGCCGGCUACCUCAUCCGCGACGAUAUCGCUUCCACCGGCCAGCUUGCCAGGCAGGAUCUUGGCUGCGGCUUUCGCGAUUCCAAGCUGCCCUCGGCAGCCAGCCGCAUCUCCUUCUAAUUCUUUCCAGGAUGAUAUACAUGACUUUAGCCUUGAUAGGAUAUAUUUUCUCACUACAUAUUUUCUCCAAGAUGAAAGUUCAAGGCUGUUUAUGACGUAGAUCGAAGCAUACACAUCUUGAGGUGGGAUUAAAGCACAAGCUUCUCAAGGUACUCACUCACAGUGUUCUAAAUAUGGUGGCAGCUUUUGGGGUACUAUGUUUUGGAUUUUUAUGUUUCAUGCCCAAAUAUUGGGGUGAUUCUUCAAGGUGACUUCUUAAAUUUUUACAUACGUAAUUAGGGAGUUCAGCCAUGCUUGCUUGGCUGCUUCGUGAGGAGAGGCCGGCCGGUUGCUGCGUGUUUUCUGCCUCCUCCACCUUGUAGGAUUACAGAAAAGUAUUGUUCACUGUUCAGGGUUGAAAAUUUUGUGUGCAUUACUAAUGCGAUCACUGGUGUUGUGAUCCACUUCUUAUCAAUGAGCCAUCUAUUUAGACUUUGUACCGCAUCUGCCAAAUUUAUGUUUGUUGGCUUGGUUGUAGUAAUUGUCAAAAGUUUUCCGGUUGACUAAUUCUCUUUUCUUGUGUAGAUGUUUUCAAAAUGAUUGUUUAGAAAGGAGUAUAAAUAAAGCAUCCUAACUGACUUGGUAAUUAACUUGGGGUAAUAAGGGUAUUCUGAAAUUUCCAAAAGUAUAUGAUUUGACUGCUCAACCAUCAUGUUAGUUUUAGUUAGUUACACCAAAACUGAAUUAAGCUUCUAAACUUUGCUGAAAAUGCAAACUGAGGUCAUGAAAAGAGUGUUCAUCACCUCUAGGAGUACUUGCUAUGAAUGACAGUGAGAAUUAUGAAAAUAUUUUUGCCUCGCUAUUUGUGUAUAACAACCAUUUACUUGCAACUGAAAUUAGUGUUUUGAAUUCAGUUCAGGUGUGUAAUGAACUCCGCACAUCUAUGGUAUUGUUUACAGCUACUGCAACCGCUAGAUUCUCAUUGCUAGCUAUUGUAUGUGAAUUGGUAGAAACCUUGUGGUCAGGUUGGGGAAAGAACUGGUGCCAAAAUAAUUGCCUUUGGGUAGCACCUAAACCAUGGCUUUAUUGGUUCAUUCGCACACAAGCGGUUGGGAAAAAGGUUCAAUUGUUAGUGAGGAAGUUGUUGGGAAGUCUUCUGACUACCAUGCUUUGCAAAAUUUCCUUGAGAAGAUUUAUCGGAGUUUAAGUAAGUAUCUGUAUCCACAUAUUUAUCAAUCAUUUUUCUAUAAUAGGCUAUAUAUACUGUGGGAUGUGAAGUGGUGCUGGGGUCAUUUAGGGAGAUUAUGCACCUUUGAGUUCAUGGUGUGCACCAUCACGCUUUGCAACUAUGCCAAAGUGGAGACAAGUGUGUAAGCUAAAUGUCCCUCCAAAAGUCCACUCCUUCUGGUGGAGGAUGUUGAGGGGUUCUGUGGCAAUGCCAAUUCAGGCAGUUCUGAAACAACGACACAUUGAGCAGACUACAACGUGUUUACUAUGUGGUGUUGAUGAAGAGACAAUCUUCCAUACCAUUAUUGAAAAGCCCAAGAGCUAAACUAUGCUAGAACGAGGUAUGCCAUGAGACUGGAGUGAAGCUCCCAAAACUGCACCCUAACUUGGGCGACUGAUAUCCUUGAUGACAACAUUUGCUCCAGGGUGGAGGCUGUGGUUAUAACAUGUACUGCUUGGAUUGACAAUGCCUUGUACUGCUUACCUAUUUGCUCAUCCUUUUAAGGCUUAAUCCUGCAUGCGUAUUAUACAAUUUUAGUUUCUUCCAAA